rnacentral:rRNA from 1 species
AAAGACUUGACGGUACUUCACACCAACCUAGAGGAGCCUGUCCAAUAACCGAUACUCCACGAUUAACCCAACCCACCCUAGCCAUAACAGUCUAUAUACCGCCGUCGCCAGCUUACCUUGUGAAAGAAAUAAAGUAAGCAAAAUAAACCACCCUUAACACGACAGGUCGAGGUGUAACUAAUGAGUGGGAAAAGAUGGGCUACACUUUCUAAUACAGAAAAUACGGAUUAACUAUGAAACUAGAAACUGAAGGCGGAUUUAGCAGUACGAUAAGAACAAAAUACUUA